rnacentral:tRNA from 1 species
GGGGGUGUAGCUCAGUUGGUUAGAGCGCCUGCCUGUCACGCAGGAGGUCGCGGGUUCGAGUCCCGUCACUCCCG